GUCGAACGAAGUAGCAAUACUUAGUGGCAGACGGGUGAGUAACAUGUAGGUAUCUACCCUAUGGCCUGGAAUAACACGAGGAAACUUGUGCUAAUACCGGAUAAGUCUUUACAGAGAAAGCUUUAUGCACCAUUGGAUGAGCCUGCACUUGAUUAGUUUGUUGGUGGGGUAAUGGCCUACCAAGACUGUGAUCAAUAGCUGAUUUGAGAGGAUGAUCAGCCACAUUGGGACUGAGACACGGCCCAAACUCCUACGGGAGGCAGCAGUGGGGAAUCUUGCACAAUGGAGGAAACUCUGAUGCAGCGAUGCCGCGUGAGUGAAGAAGGCCUUUGGGUUGUAAAGCUCUUUCGUCGGGGAAGAAAAUGACUGUACCCGAAUAAGAAGGUCCGGCUAACUUCGUGCCAGCAGCCGCGGUAAUACGAAGGGACCUAGCGUAGUUCGGAAUUACUGGGCUUAAAGAGUUCGUAGGUGGUUGAAAAAGUUAGUGGUGAAAUCCCAGAGCUUAACUCUGGAACUGCCAUUAAAACUUUUCAGCUAGAGUAUGAUAGAGGAAAAGCAGAUUUUCUAGUGUAGAGG
rnacentral:rRNA from 1 species